CUACGGACUUGAUUGUAUUGAGCCUUGCUUUGGAAACUUGCUAAGUGGUGACUUCCAAAUUCAGAGAAACCCUAGAAUGAAAAAUGGGCAAUCCUGAGCGAAAUCUCUAUUUUGAAAAACAAGUGGUUCUCAAACUAGAACCCAAAGGAAAAGGAUAGGUGUAGAGACUCAAUGGAAGUUGUUCUAACGAAUCAAAGUAAUAACGAUUAAUCACAUAACCCAUACUAUAAUAUAGGUUUUUUAUUUUAUUUUUUGAAUGAAAUUAGGAAUGAAUAUGAAAUAGAAAAUUCAUAAUUUUUUAGAAUUAUUGUGAAUCUAUUCCAAUAAAAUAUUAAGUAAUCAAAUCCUUCAAUUCAUUGUUUUUGAGAUCUUUUAAUUUUUAAAAGUGGAUUAAUCGGACGAGGAUAAAGAGAGAGUCCCAUUCUACAUGUUAAUACUGA
rnacentral:ncRNA from 1 species